UCAAAACCACAGAAACUCUCUAUUUCUCCCCAAAAAACUGGGGAUACCAAAAAUCAGAGAAUCUUCCAAUUCCCUUCUUAAAUCCUCAAUCACCAAUUCGUUCAUGUCAAUCCUCCCUUAAAUCCAUUAUCCAGCAUCAAAAGUACCAGUCUACCACUACUACUACAUAGAGAAACAAAUAAAAUAUUAAAAACAACAGUUUCCACCUUAAACCGCCAUGCCUUGGUUCAGAAAUCUCAUCCACCUCUCCUCCUCUACGACCUUCAGAACACAGUCAUCCCUCAAACCCAUCACUACUGCUACGUCACUUUCCUAUGCUUUUACCCACCAGUUGACACAGUUCAGCACCGCCGCCACCGAAGAGAAGGCGGCGGAGGCGGACGUGAGUGAUAAAGGCAGUGGAGCUGGUACUAUUGCCGCGAGGUAUGCUGGGCUCGCGCCCACGAAGGGGGAUGAGAAGCCGAGGGUGGUGGUUUUGGGCUCGGGAUGGGCCGGAUGCAGACUCAUUAAAGAUAUCGAUACCGGCAUUUACGACGUCGUUUGCGUCUCCCCCAGGAAUCACAUGGUCUUCACUCCAUUGCUGGCCUCCACGUGCGUCGGCACUCUGGAAUUCCGGUCUGUUGCCGAACCCAUUGGAAGGAUCCAACCUGCCAUUUCUCGGGAACCCGGUUCGUACUAUUUCCUUGCUAACUCCACCGGCGUUGAUUUCCAAAACCAUCUGGUGAAUUGCCAAACAGUAACUGAUGGAGCUGGUACUUUGGAGCCAUGGAACUUCACCAUUGCAUAUGACAAGCUGGUGAUUGCAGCUGGAGCAGAAGCGUCAACUUUCGGCAUCAGGGGUGUUAAAGAACAUGCCAUUUUUCUACGCGAGGUUCAUCAUGCUCAGGAAAUCCGGAGGAAAUUGCUUCUUAAUCUCAUGCUCUCUGAUGUGCCAGGAGUUAGUGAUGAAGAGAAACGUAGGCUCCUACAUUGUGUAGUUGUUGGUGGUGGUCCAACAGGCGUUGAGUUCAGCGGUGAACUUAGUGAUUUUAUCACGAGGGAUGUCCGCCAGAGAUACGCUCAUGUCAAGGAUUAUAUACGCGUUACUUUGAUUGAGGCAAAUGAGAUUUUGUCUUCCUUUGAUGAUCGCCUGCGGAUAUACGCAACCAAGCAGUUGAUUAAGUCAGGAGUUCGUCUAGUUCGUGGAAUUGUGAAGGAUGUUCAACCUGAGAAGAUAGUUCUUAGUGAUGGGACUGAUGUACCUUAUGGUCUGCUGGUGUGGUCUACUGGCGUUGGCCCUUCACCUUUUGUCAAAUCCCUGGAUGUUCCCAAAUCACCUGGGGGAAGGAUAGGGGUAGACGAGUGGCUUCGUGUCCCUGCUGUGCAGGAUGUUUUUUCUAUUGGUGACUGCUGUGGGUUUCUUGAAUCUACAGGCAAGCCUGUGCUUCCAGCUCUGGCUCAGGUUGCUGAGCGGCAGGGAAAAUAUCUAGCACAAGAACUGAACAGGAUUGGUAAAGCUGGUGGUGGACGUGCCAAUGCUGCAAUGGAGAUCGAUCUUGGGUCUCCAUUUGUCUAUAGGCAUUUGGGGAGCAUGGCGACCAUUGGUAGAUACAAGGCCCUUGUGGACCUCAGGCAGAGCAAGGAGGCAAGAGGAUUAUCUGUGGCUGGAUUUGGAAGCUGGUUUGUCUGGCGGUCUGCUUAUCUUACGCGUGUCAUAAGCUGGAGGAACAGAUUCUACGUAGCAAUCAACUGGUUAACGACCCUUGUAUUUGGCCGUGAUAUAAGUCGUAUAUGAAGUAUUUAAGAAUACAAAAUUCAAGGCAAAAAUCGGAACAAAAAUACUACGACACUGUAUCAGAAAAUGAGAUGUCGAGGAGCACUUUUAGAUAUUGUCGAGCUUUAGGAACAGGUAUUCGCUGGACAAAUGAAUGGUUUUGCAGAAAUGAUUUCGCAACAGCAGAAGGAAUAAAGCCCUUGUAUUUUGCCAGGAAAAAAAACAAACAAAAUUUACUUGUAAUUGGUUGCUUGAUUAAGCAAGCGACCUUCUGUGAUUGGUAUAGUUGCUUCCCUUGUUGUUUGUUCAAUUGGAUUUAAGUAAUUCAAAAGCCACCUUGUGCUCA